CAUGGUGCCAGCAUCUGCUUCUGGGGAGAGCUACAGGGGGCUUCCAGCCAACGUGGACGACAGAGGAGGAGCAGGUGCAUCACAUGGAUGAAGCUGGAUUUCUGCACACUGCUCCUUGCCUCAUAGCUGGCUUGAGUCUGCCAAGAAGUGAACAAAACCAGCCACAUAAUCCCAUUUAAAGGCAUGUAUGGCAUUUGAGGAAGGUUGGUGGUCACAUGUGAUGAAGGAACAGCUCAAAGAUGAACUAGAUCCAUAUGGAGAAGCCAGGUAUUCUGAAGAAUGAAGAAACCAUCUCUCACGCGGUUCCUGCUCUCGAGGAGCUAAGCACUCGGUGGAGACAGGGGGCAUGCACGGCUGAGAGGCAGGUUCUGGACAGCCAGCGGUGCCGGUUGCCAGAGCACGAGAGCACGGAGUUUGCUGUGAGCUGGGCCAGUCGAGGAAGGCCAUGGGGAAAAACUCAAUAAAGCAAUGGAGAGAUUAAGGAUA